CCUACGGGAGGCAGCAGUGGGGAAUAUUGGACAAUGGGGGCAACCCUGAUCCAGCCAUGCCGCGUGUGUGAAGAAGGCCCUCGGGUUGUAAAGCACUUUCAGUGAGGAAGAACGCCUGGUGGUUAAUACCCAUCAGGAAAGACAUCACUCACAGAAGAAGCACCGGCUAACUCCGUGCCAGCAGCCGCGGUAAUACGGAGGGUGCGAGCGUUAAUCGGAAUUACUGGGCGUAAAGCGCGCGUAGGUGGCUUGAUAAGCCGGUUGUGAAAGCCCCGGGCUCAACCUGGGAACGGCAUCCGGAACUGUCAAGCUAGAGUGCAGGAGAGGAAGGUAGAAUUCCCGGUGUAGCGGUGAAAUGCGUAGAGAUCGGGAGGAAUACCAGUGGCGAAGGCGGCCUUCUGGACUGACACUGACACUGAGGUGCGAAAGCGUUGGUAGCAAACAGGAUUAGAUACCCCAGUAGUC
rnacentral:rRNA from 1 species